GAUGAACGCUGGCGGCGUGCCUAAUACAUGCAAGUCGAGCGAACAGACGAGGAGCUUGCUCCUCUGACGUUAGCGGCGGACGGGUGAGUAACACGUGGUUAACCUACCUAUAAGACUGGGAUAACUUCGGGAAACCGGAGCUAAUACCGGAUAAUAUAUUGAACCGCAUGGUUCAAUAGUGAAAGACGGUUUUGCUGUCACUUAUAGAUGGAUCCGCGCCGCAUUAGCUAGUUGGUAAGGUAACGGCUUACCAAGGCGACGAUGCGUAGCCGACCUGAGAGGGUGAUCGGCCACACUGGAACUGAGACACGGUCCAGACUCCUACGGGAGGCAGCAGUAGGGAAUCUUCCGCAAUGGGCGAAAGCCUGACGGAGUAACGCCGCGUGAGUGAUGAAGGUCUUCGGAUCGUAAAACUCUGUUAUUAGGGAAGAACAAAUGUGUAAGUAACUAUGCACGUCUUGACGGUACCUAAUCAGAAAGCCACGGCUAACUACGUG
rnacentral:rRNA from 1 species